AUUAGCUCAGGUGGUUAGAGCGCACCCCUGAUAAGGGUGAGGUCUCAGGUUCAAGUCCUG
rnacentral:tRNA from 3 species